UACGGGGGGGGCAAGCGUUGUUCGGAAUUACUGGGCGUAAAGGGCGCGUAGGCGGUCUGCUAAGCGUGCGGUGAAAGCCUGGGGCUCAACCCCAGGUCUGCCGUGCGAACUGGUGAACUAGAGCACUGUAGAGGCAGGUGGAAUUCCGGGUGUAGCGGUGGAAUGCGUAGAGAUCCGGAAGAACACCGGUGGCGAAGGCGGCCUGCUGGGCAGUUGCUGACGCUGAGGCGCGACAGCGUGGGGAGCAAACAGG
rnacentral:rRNA from 1 species